CCCUGGAUUAAGGGGGAAGGUGCCCUCAUUGGGAGGGCACCAGAGAGAGAUGACAGGUGACUGGCAAUCUGGAGUGAGGAGGGGCAGGAGGGAGCUGGAGACUGAUGAUCAGUGUAGUCCAUCCCUAGGUGUAUUGGUCAGGUUCCUGUUUCUGGGAAAAAAUAUCUGACACUUGCAAUUUAAAAGAGAAGAUGUUUAGUUUGGCUUGUGGCUUCCAGGGAUUUGGCCCAUGGUCAACUGUCUCCGAGGCAGGAGCAUCAUGGGGGAAAGGCAUGACCUCAGGUAGGAGGCCCACCUCAGGGUAUCCAGGAAGCAGACAGCAGGAGAAAAUCCCAAGAAAAAGGGGGUAGGGACCAGAUACAGUCCCUAGGUCGUGACCCCAUGACUACCUCCUCCAACUACAUCCCACCUCCUCUAACAGCCCAAUCAGCUAUGAGCUCAUCAAGGGAUAAACCUCCUUCUUCUGUAACUGAUAAAAUAAGUGAGCACAAUCAGUGAAGACAGACUUCAACAAUACAACUCUCUUGACCUAAUUGUCAUUAGAAAAACGCUUUACCUGAUGACAGCAGAAAAUGCAUUAUUUUUAUGUGCACAAGUUGCAUCCACCAAAGCAACCUUUGUCUUGGCUCAUUAAAAAAAAGUAACAAAUAUAAAAGAAGUGAAAAAUCAUCGGAAGCCACAGCCAAUGGCUGAAACCAUUGGUACAGAGUGAGUUAACCCGUUGAUGAUGGCAGUACUCCCACCAUCUGGUCACCUCUCUAGUCAAAUUGACAACCAAGAUUAAUGAGCACCCCAGGUGGCCUGGGCCCUGAAGAAGAAACAGAAAAAUUGCUGAGACACCUAGUUGGCUGCUCGAAAGAGCUUAGAGUGUCUCGCUUGUAUCUGGUGGGUUGUCCAGUAUAUCAUGUGAAUGAGGGUACAGGACGCCUACAUGACACCCUGGAGGUGGGGCUGCUCAGGGCGCUCCUGAUACAGGAUCCACCUGUGGAUCCAUGACUGACAGUGUCUGCAAGAGGGUCACACCCUCAGCUCCUACCCUGCUCUGGUGGAGAAGAUCCUGCGCAGGUCUCCUGGACACAGACCACUUGGGAAGAGGGUCCAAGCCUGGUCACCUCCCUGACGUGGUAAGUGCUAAUGCCCAGCCCUGUGUCCCCUUGGCACUCUGAGUCUCCUGAUUCUUCAGUGAACUGUGGGGUCAGGCUCAAGGUGUGACCUCCCAACUUUCUGUGCACAGUUAACUCCAAACCAUGCUUCUCCUCCUCCAAGAUGCUCAGAGGAAUUGGAAGCCAGCGCUCUGGACGUUGAGCAGUACAAUCUGGGCAAAUGUUCCUGAACUUAAAGGGAGGGGUGAGAGCCACACAUUCAGUCUUAUGCACUGCAGUGACCACAUUAUUUUCUCCAAAUCUGUCUAGCAUGGUUUUGAUGGCUAUUUGUAAAACUGUCUGAAAGUUACAAGCUGGGGAGAGUGACUAUGCUGACAUUUUCAGGGCACUUACCCCAUCAUGCCUGGACCAUGUUACAUGCAUGACUUCCUCUCAGGCUCAUCACAUCCUUGUGAGCAGGUUCUGUCCUAUAGGGGAGGAAACUGAGGCAGAAGAAUCUAAGUCACUUCUCCAAGGUUGCACUGCAGAUAAGUUGUGGGCUAUUCUCCCUGCUCUCUGCCACCUCUUCCCCACAGUGGAUACAAUGACACUCUGUGAUGACCUUGUCUCUACCUCACUAAACAGAAGGGAAAGGAGAGGCCCAGAGAGCACGAGCAACUUGUGCAAAGUCACAUAGAGGAGCCAGACUUUUUGAUUCCCACCAACCUGGCCGUUCUGGCCACUUUCUUCUUAAGCACCCACAGCCAGGUCCAGCAGGGAGCAGAACACAGGAGCUAGACAUGGAGACACAGGUAGUCCUGGAGGAUGCUGUGGAGGCAGGCAGUGCCCGUGGAAGCCAGAAAACUGCACAGGAUCCUUCAUUCCCUCUUCCCUCCUCCAGACACUGAAGGAAAACACAUCCUUUCAAAGUGAAAGUUGGUGAGAAGUAAGCAGAUUAGUAUAGUGUUUAUGUACUAGCAUUUUAUUAAUUAAGUGUCCUAAAUAUACCGAAACCUGGGCAUUUAAUUUAGAUUUAUAGGGAUAAUUUAAAUUUAUAAGAUCGGUUAUUAUGCACUGAGUACAGAAAAUGUCAAUUGAUUUUCAUAGGCAAUAUUUAUUGAAGGAUGAAGAAAGAAAGCUGCAUAAAAUGUAAUUGCCCUGCAUUGAGCUGAGAGCUGCCAGGGACUUGGGCAGGCACUGGAGGGGGAGGGGCCCUCACCCAGGAGCUGCUGGCUUCCUGUGUGGACGGCAGUUUCACUUCCCCUCAUUAGUCAUCUAAAUAAAAGCCAGACAUCAUACCAUGAAUGAGAUCCACACGCAAUCACAGUGCGAGAUGCUGCCGAGCCACUUCUGUGCCAGUGUGAGGGCUGGCAGGGGCGGGGAGGCAGAGUGUACAGGGGUUCUCUGAGCCCUGGCGCGGCCUGGCCAUGACCUUGAAAGGCUCGCUCGUUUCCUCAUCUCUCUGUGCUGCUCUUUCUCCUUUAGGCUGAGAAUCGGGAGAGUCUGGAGGCACCUGUCAAACAGUACUGAGGCUCUGCCUCCCAAAGGUUCCACCAGCUCCCAAAGCAUCAUUGUCUGGGGGACCAAACUUUCAAUUCAAGAGCUUUUGGGGACGCUGUGGUUGUCAAGAAUGGAGACAGUACGGACUGGAAACGAUGGAGACCAAAAAACAGUGGGAUGACGUUUCGUGGCCAUUGAAAACCAAAUCAGUGAAGAAUGUUACAUCCAGGAAAAUCAUCCUCCAGACCUGAAGGAGAAAUGACUAUAUCCACACAUAGGAAGAAACUAAGAGUGAGAUGGACUGGAAGUACCUGACUCUCCCUGUUUGUCUUCUGUGGUGGCUUCAGAGGGUGGCUUGGCUGACACUGUCAUGUCCUUUCCCACUGCCUUUCACUCCUCCUAAGUCCCCUGAGAAUGGACUGGACAACGGGCCUCAGCAUCUUCCUGCCAGUUAAUGCCAGAUAUCCUAAGGUUAGGGCGGCUCAGCUGUCAGCUGUGCUGCUCCCUCCCUGAUUCCUGGCUCUAUGGAUGCUUCCACUUCUCUGUAAACUGCCCCUACAGUGGCAAAGCUCAAGAAGGGACCUAGGCUCAUCAUCCCCAAAUUCCAGUAAGCUGUGAUUGAUACAGCCAACCCUCCCAGAUAUUAACAACUUUGGCAUCAUCAUCUUCACAGCGACUUGAAAGCUGACAAUCCAAUAGCAACAUCUCAUGCUUCUCUGAACCGGCCCCAGGACAUCAGGCGCUUUCCUAGACACACAGCACUCACUUCCGGAGGUGCCUAUCCUGACCACAGCAGACUUGAAUUUGAACCAAGGAGUAGAAUUGAAUUUGGACCAAUCAGUAUGUUAAGCUCUGAAGGCUUCAGUUCAUCCCACUUAGGACCAGUUAGGAGGAAUCUGGAUGAAUCACAGGCCUGCUGUGAUUACACUCUUCUUACACUCUUUGGCUUGCUCUUUGGCUCUCUGUAGUGCGCUGACCCCUCUGUUCUACUUCUGCUGCACAGGUCUUGUUUAUAGAAGGCCUUGCUAUAGUAUUUCUAUGAAUCUACUCACAGUUUAUUUCUUAGGUAAUAUGAGCUUGAGAGGUACUAUAAAUCUAUUUGUGACUCUUCUCCCAAGUAGUAUGGAUACAGCUGUUACUUUAAAAACAGCUAUAAGAGCAAGGGGCUGUCUGUCAUCCUUGAGGAGCUUGAGAGACCAGCUGCCAAAAAAGAUCAAUAACAGAGCAGUGCAGACUGAUUGUAUCCAGCACUCACUGGCGCCAACUGGUGGCAGUCAUCAGCAGCAAGCAACGACAAGCAAUCAGAAAUACUGACUGACAGCUCUUAGCAUUAACUUGGUGCCCGUUGGUGAUGUUAGGGCCCAGAACAAUAACACUGAGAGCCAAGGAUCAUUGGCAUGCAAACCCUCAGCCAUUAGUAGUGCUGCACUUGUCAAGUCAUGAUUUCUAUCUUAAUAAAAGAAAAAGGAACCCUCGGGUGAUUGGCAGCUAUCAGAGCUACUCCACAACCCACAAGAAAUACCAGACAGUGCUUCAGACUGACACCAACAGACUGUGGUUAGUAAUUUGCAUCUACAUGAAGAAAUCCACAGCUGCUUAGCACUGGGCAAGUUAUCUACACAGGUAAACAGAAAGACAGUUUAAAUGCAUGUUUUGUAAUUCCUUUCUUUUACUUCUGAUUUGAAAGAUCACUGUUCAAAGCAGUAAUUAUAGAUAUGCAUUGACA